rnacentral:lncRNA from 1 species
GUCAUCCUGAGAUCUUGGGUAUGUCAGAGCUCCUGGGAGUCAAGCUGCCUCUGGGAUCCUGAAAACCUGUGAUCCUGGGUGUAUUAGAGCACCUGGGAGUGGAGCUUCCUCAGGGUGUUGAGGGACUGGGUGCAAAGCCAGUGCCCAAAGUCUGCUCAACACACUGGCUCAGUCUGGAAGGAACCUGUGCCACUGGCCAGGAGGGGGUUCCUGUGUCCCUGGAUCCCAGGGGUCCCAAUCAUUCCUGGUGUUGGGGCAGAUGGUGUAGCCUCCUCACCUGUGAUCCUGGGCAUGUUAGAGUACCUGGGAGUUGAGCUUCCUCUGGGUGUUGUGGGAAUGAGUGCAGAUCCAGCACCUAAGGUCCACUCGGGGCACUGGCUUAGACUGGAAGCUGCAGGUGCAAUGUGGUCAGAUGCUUAAAUUUCCAGAUGCCUUCACUUUCCUGCUAGGAGAGACAGUUCCCGGGAGCUUUGUGCCAAGCUUGCUUUCUUAUAGAACCCAGGACUACCAGCCCAGGGAUAGCACCACCCACCAAUGGGCCCUCCCACCCUUGAUCACUGACUGAGAAAAUGCCUUACAUCUGGAUCUCAUGGAAGCAUUUCCUCAAGGAAGAUUCCGUUCUCGGUGAUAACUCCAGCUUGAGUCAAGUUGACACACAAAACCAGCCAGCACAGACUCUUAUCACGUCCUUUCUCUUCUAAUAAACCAAGAGUUGCUCCCACUCCCGCUGCUGUUACUUAAAAUAGUUUUCCGUGAGACUUCUCUGGAAACACAUACCUUGUUUGUGACAAUUUCAGAGUGACUCCUUUUAACUCAUCCUUGGUGAAGGAUCAGAGGAAACUUUCCAAACUCCCAUAUGCCAUGCUCAAACUCUGCUCCCGAGCUACCCUGGUCAAGUUCGUGAACUAUUACCAGCAUCAGCUAGAUAACAUAAGGCUGCAUUCAUCACAAUGGCAUAUAACUGUUGGCUAUAUAGGAACUAGUUUCAUCUUUUGAAGUCGGUCUACUAAGAAUAUUUGCUUUUUACCAUCACUUUCUUGGAAAGUUCCUCAAGGAUCUGUUCCAGCCAAACAAGAGAGUAAAGCAGAGAACAAGUGCCAAACACCUGCUGUCACGUGAUCACAAAGGAUCCCCUUGCUCUCCAAUGUGCUGAACUGAAGAUGCUGGGAACUGCCAGCUUCUUGAACAGGACACUCCCCUCCAAGAAAAGCAACCAAGAACUAGAAGGAAGGUCACCCUUUACAGUGAGUCUUUAACCGAGGACAAGCAAAAGAAACAACAUCACACAUUGGCAGGAAGCCGGGUGGGAUGAAGCCGACUCCAUCAUUCAUUAACAGAGACCCAAUCCAAAAAAUGUAUUCUGUUUUAUGCUUUGCUCUAAGUUGGUGAUAUCAAUAAAAAAAAA